AGCCUACGGGAGGCAGCAGUGAGGAAUAUUGGUCAAUGGGCGCGAGCCUGAACCAGCCAAGUCGCGUGAAGGAUGACUGCCCUACGGGUUGUAAACUUCUUUUAUAAAGGAAUAAAGUGAGGCACGUGUGCCUUUUUGUAUGUACUUUAUGAAUAAGGAUCGGCUAACUCCGUGCCAGCAGCCGCGGUAAUACGGAGGAUGCGAGCGUUAUCCGGAUUUAUUGGGUUUAAAGGGUGCGUAGGCGGGCUGUUAAGUCAGCGGUCAAAUGUCGGGGCUCAACCCCGGCCUGCCGUUGAAACUGGCGG
rnacentral:rRNA from 1 species